rnacentral:lncRNA from 1 species
AUGACAUGUCAAGUUCGUCGGCAGAAGAGUUUUGUCCUCCAUUGUCAAUCCAAUCGUCUUCUGCCUCUCUGAUAGCGUCUUCCGUGAGUGAAUCCAAAUUAGUUCCUCGUAAGCGAUGAAAUUGGCUACGCAAAUUAUUGACCUCGGUUUCUGUAAAACCAGCUUCACGUAAACGAUCAAAACCACGGAGUGUUUCUCCAGUCUGAGCAUUUUGUAAAUCAUCAGGAGAUUCUGAAUUAGAGUUAAGGCCGCUUUGGGCUUGGUCUUGUGAAGCCAAUUCUUCUUCCGUCAAGGUUGGUCCCACUAUACAAUGGAUAAAUGCUUUCUGAACUAUGUUUGGAUCGUCAUUUUCGUCUCUUUGCCAAUUCCCCCUAACUGCUCUUUCUACUGUGAAACCUGGGGAUAACAAUCUUCCUUGAAAAACCAUUUUUAGCUGUUUAUCUCGACAUUCUGGAAUCCGAUUACGAACAAUCUUAAACAGACUGUGAAUAGUGGUAGUUUGCGCAUCACUUAUUUCUAAAGAUAAAUCAGGUAUUGAUGAUGCGAAUCGAAUGACAAUUUCCCAUUUUUUUAAAGCACUUGAGGACAUUGAUUAUUUUCCAACGACUGUGGAGAAGGAGGAAGUACUGACUAUGUCAGCUAAAUGUGAUACUCAUAGGAUGGUACGGUAAGUAAAGUGUUCCCUUCAAUAUACAUAUAAUGUUGAAUAAAAAAAUAGGAAUAUGUUUACGUAUUUGGUAAAUCUACGAGUUACGCACUAAGAAAAAAAAAUAUCUCAACAUACAACGUAUCCUAAAGUCAGAUGAGAUUACAGCUUAUAAACAAAUGACAGCACAAUCCAACAUAUACCACAAUAUGCUUCUCUAUUUUUUUUUAACCAAACGAGAUUUAUCAGCAAUCGCUGGCCAUCAGUUUAUUCUCGAAAAGUGUUGUCACCGGGGCUAAACAGCGAACAAUUCGCAACAUUUCUUACUAUAAUGAGCUUGAAAUAUGCAGCACCACAGGUAAUUUACAAGAUUAAUUCUCUUUAAAAAAUUAAGCUUGUAAAUUGUACCUCCAAGACGAGAAAAACAAUAAUUAACAAAAACAAACACAGAAAAUAAUACCAAUACCCAAAUUAAACGAAUAUUUGAUCAACUCGCUAUUACAAAAACAUGUCAUGAAUUUUACUCAGAUUCACUGUUUUCAAGACUUUCAUCUCCCGAAUAGUCUUCACUCAACUCCCUAUUUUCAUUUUCCUCAUCUGGAAAGGCACCUUUACUCGAAUUCUCUUCAUCUGAAUACAUCUCAUUGUCGACUGAAUCGUCCGAGCUAUAGCCUUCAUCGCCGGUAGAAGAUGCUUCAUCCAUGGAUUCUUCAUAUCCCUCAUAAUAUAUACUAAUCGGCUCCUCAUCCUCAGCAUUAUCUUUAGAACCACCUGCUUUCCGAAAGGCGAUUUGGGAAAGAACGAGAUCUAAUUUUCCUUGCAGAGCUAACAUACUUGAAUAUUUUGAUGCACGAUCUUCUAAGAUGGAAUGUAGGUUAGCUAAUUUGUGCUUUAAAUCAUCGACAAGGACUAAAUGACCACCAUGUGUAAUUAAGGUACAGCGUAUCCACACCAUCAAAACAUCCGCUCGCAUCGGACGAAGUGCUAGUUUUUCAGCAAGUUUAUCUAAAAGAAUUGGUGCUAAUGAUGGAUCCAAUCUUCUAAUGGUAGUGUCAAUAGUCUCGACAUUGUUAUUAUUGAAACAAGACUCUAAUAAAGACUGAUCGUUGGUUUUUAAUGCUUGAGUAAGUACAGUAGACAAGGAUGUAGAAGCAGAUAUUUGAGUUGAAAGCGCUUGAGCUUGCUGAUCAAGUUUGGUUAAAUUUUGCAAGCGCUCUGCUAAACUUGGUUCCUGCUCUUCCCCUUCCAUAGCUUCGGCGCUUCCUAUCUCUUCAGUUUUUCUUAAAUCUUUCUGCAUAACCCCAGAGGAAAUAGUUGCAUUGGAUUCAUCGUAAACAUUCGAAACAGUUUUGUUUUUCGAUGUAAGUCGAGUUUUUGAACGAACCAAUUCUAUCAGCCCAUUCGUAGCUUGAGAUGACAAUAUACGCCAAGGGACAGUUUCGAAAACAGUUCUAGUAGAUUCCUUCCAUACAACAGUGAGGGAAUCAGUGCUUUCGAAAGCAAUCGAUUCAAGAACAAUUGGAGGAUCUCCUCGAGAACGACAAAAACAAAUCUUCAAAGUAGAAUGACUGGUGAGAAGUUUACGUCGAUGUGAUAAAGACGAGGCAUUCGUACCAUUCUGUCUUAAUUUAGAUAGCCAAGGGUUUUCAAACAUCUCUAUGGUACCAUCAUUCGUAAGAGCUGCUAAUACACCGGUUUCAGGGUUUUCUAUCUCAUAGGCUAUUGAAAGCAUUUUGACUUCAUUCUCACAAACCAAAGCUCCAACAUUCUUGACAGUAUUGGUAGGAAAUUCGCCAGUGCCAUCAAGUUCCUUGCUGUACAAAUUAAUAAACCUGUCUUGAUUUGCUGAAACCCCAAAAUAAAAUUUAUUUUCAUCUUUUAAG